rnacentral:pre_miRNA from 1 species
CAUGUACUCCCUCCGUUCCGAAUUACUUGUCUUGGAUUUGUCUAGAUAUGGAUGUAUCUAGACUCAUUUUAGUGCUAGAUACAUCCGUAUCUAGACAAAUCCAAGACAAGUAAUUCGGAACGGAGGGAGUACAUC